AUGAGCCUGUCAAUGGGCGCGUGCCCCCACGCGUGGCGGCACCACCUACACCACCGCGGCCGCAUGUGGGCCGCCUCCCCGGCCUUCCGCAGGCAGCUCGUCCUGCUCCGCUCUCUCGCGCCCACCACCUGCGCAUACGGCGGCCGCGCCUCCUCGAGCUCUCUUCGUCCCCACGCGAUGUCGGCGGCGGCCGGGCCGGUGUACGAGGCGGACGCGGAGGCGGUGGUCCGGCGAAUCACGCCGCCGCUCGACCGCGCAAGGCACAAGGGUCAGGCAGGGAAGAUAGCAAUAAUUGGUGGAUGUCGCGAGUACACUGGUGCUCCUUAUUUUGCCGCUAUCUCUGCAUUGAAAGUUGGUGCAGAUCUCUCACAUGUUUUCUGCACAAAAGAUGCUGCAACAGUAAUCAAGAGCUAUAGCCCUGAGUUGAUUGUGCAUCCAAUAUUAGAGGAGUCCUACAGCGUAAGGGAUGAUGAAAGAGAAUCUGUUUCUUCUAGCAUUCUCACUGAAGUUAUAAAGUGGAUGGAGCGCUUUGAUUGCAUUGUUGUUGGCCCCGGCCUUGGAAGGGACUCAUUUCUUAUGGAUUGUAUCAGUAAUAUCAUGAGGCAUGCACGACAGGCUAAUAUCCCAACUGUUGUGGAUGGGGAUGGCCUUUUCCUUAUAACCAAUAACAUUGGUCUUGUUGAAGACAACUCACUUGCCAUCUUAACACCAAAUGUAUACGAGUACAAGCGUCUUGUGCAGAAGGUUCUUAACUGUGAAGUAAAUGAGGAAAAUGCUUCUGAGCAACUGACUGCACUUUGCCAAAAAAUUGGUGGUGUAACCAUCAUGAGGAAAGGAAAAGCAGAUGUAAUUAGUGACGGUAAAAAAGUCACACAAGUGAGUACCUUUGGUUCUCCAAGGCGAUGUGGUGGUCAAGGCGACAUUCUCUCUGGAAGCGUGGCAGUAUUUUCAUCAUGGGCACGGCACUUUCUCUUGUCAAAUAAGCAACCUAAAGAGACUAGUGUGAAUCCUAUGGUUCUUGGGUGCAUAGCUGGCUCUCUAUUGCUCAGAAAAGCUGCGGCGCUUGCAUUUGAGAAGAACAAGAGAUCAACUGUCACUACUGACAUCAUUGAGUUCUUGGGCCAAAGCUUGGAAGAUAUCUGCCCUGCUGGGUGGUAG
rnacentral:rRNA from 1 species